rnacentral:ncRNA from 1 species
UAUAAUGUUAUGACGAAAAGAGUAGUCAUUCCGAAGCCGUAAAAGCGAGUCCGGAGGGUGAGAGCGGACGCGGACAGGAUGAUGAAGUGCAUUUCCGAGCAUCGAAGGCUGAAAUGACAGUAGGCUUUCCCGGGCGCUCCCGAUACAGGGCAGAGGGUCUUAGGACUCUCAGAGGCAUAUCUGGCGACAGGUAUGCGAAUUUAGGUGGAAUCACGAGUCUCUCGUCCUGAAA